rnacentral:ncRNA from 2 species
AUCGGAAGGUGCGGCUGGAUCACCU